GUUUCGGUUUGGCUUUUCUAUUGAACAUGGCUACCGCAUUAAGUAUUUCCUGUUCUUCAUAAAGUGGAAACCUAAUUUGUUCAAGAAAGUAAAGAUUUGUUUACUACAAUUUGAUGGGGUUUCUUGUUCAUUGUUGAAUUUUGUUGGUAUAUCGAUUUUGGCUUGGUUUUUGAUAUGGAAGCUCUGCUAGGUUUUGGUGGUAAUGCUUGUUUUUCGCAUUUUCUGAUAAGGGAAAAAUGUUGAUUUGGUUGCGUGAGGAACUCAGCGUGUUUUAGAUAAGGCUUAUGUGAUUCUUUAGCUUCGGUGCUUACGAAUGAAUUCGCUGGAAUCCCGAUUUGGUUUCAAUGUGGGGUUUUCAGUAGUGAUGGCGGUUAACAAGAACAGUAGAGGAAUGGUGGAAUAAGAUCAAGUGGCAUUCAAAUCAAGGGAGGAUCACCAGAAGCAGGUAGAAUUGGAGCUUGGAGGGAGCACAAAAAGCUGGUUGCACCAGCUGACUACUGAGGUUUAUGAGGAUGGAAAGGAAAUCAACCCUCACAUUCUUCAGUCUAUGUCAUCUGCCCCUUGGUAUUUCUUGAUUUUACAUAGCCACUGCACUUUAUACUUUUCCAGAAACUGCAACUCUGUCACUGAAUAUGAUGGAAAGAUAUCUGAAUUUUCA